UACGGAGGAUCCAAGCGUUAUCCGGAAUCCUUGGGUUUAAAGGGUCCGUAGGCGGUUUUGUAAGUCCGUGGUGAAAGCCCAUCGCUCAACGGUGGAACGGCCAUUGAUACUGCAAGACUUGAAUUACUAGGAAGUAACUAGAAUAUGUAGUGUAGCGGUGAAAUGCUUAGAUAUUACAUGGAAUACCAAUUGCGAAGGCAGGUUACUACUAGUGGAUUGACGCUGAUGGACGAAAGCGUGGGGAGCGAACAGG
rnacentral:rRNA from 1 species